CCUACGGGCGGCUGCAGUGGGGAAUAUUGCACAAUGGGCGCAAGCCUGAUGCAGCCAUGCCGCGUGUGUGAAGAAGGCCUUCGGGUUGUAAAGGACUUUCAGCGGGGAGGAAGGCGGUGAGGUUAAUAACCUCAUCGAUUGACGUUACCCGCAGAAGAAGCACCGGCUAACUCCGUGCCAGCAGCCGCGGUAAUACGGAGGGUGCAAGCGUUAAUCGGAAUUACUGGGCGUAAAGCGCACGCAGGCGGUCUGUCAAGUCGGAUGUGAAAUCCCCGGGCUCAACCUGGGAACUGCAUUCGAAACUGGCAGGCUAGAGUCUUGUAGAGGGGGGUAGAAUUCCAGGUGUAGCGGUGAAAUGCGUAGAGAUCUGGAGGAAUACCGGUGGCGAAGGCGGCCCCCUGGACAAAGACUGACGCUCAGGUGCGAAAGCGUGGGGAGCAAACAGGAUUAGAUACCCUUGUAGUC
rnacentral:rRNA from 1 species